rnacentral:rRNA from 1 species
UACGUAGGGUGCAAGCGUUGUCCGGAAUUACUGGGCGUAAAGUGUGCGCAGGCGGCCGCGCAAGUCGAGUGUGAAAUCCCCGAGCUUAACUUGGGAAUUGCGCUCGAAACUACGUGGCUGGAGUGUGGCAGAGGAAGGUGGAAUUCCACGUGUAGCGGUGAAAUGCGUAGAGAUGUGGAGGAACACCGAUGGCGAAGGCAGCCUUCUGGGCCAACACUGACGCUCAUGCACGAAAGCGUGGGGAGCAAACAGG